rnacentral:rRNA from 1 species
UACGGGGGGGGCAAGCGUUGUUCGGAAUUACUGGGCGUAAAGGGCUCGUAGGCGGCCAACUAAGUCAGACGUGAAAUCCCCGGGCUCAACCCGGGAACUGCGUCCGAUACUGGCAGGCUUGAAUCCGGGAGAGGGAUGCGGAAUUCCAGGUGUAGCGGUGAAAUGCGUAGAUAUCUGGAGGAACACCGGUGGCGAAGGCGGCAUCCUGGACCGGCAUUGACGCUGAGGCGCGAAAGCGUGGGGAGCAAACAGG